rnacentral:lncRNA from 1 species
UACUCGUAUGGUGUCUUUUUUUUUUUUGGUCCUCCUUUGUCCAUUGUGUCGGUGAUAUUCAUCAUAUUACUUGUAUUACUGGUACUGUCAGUGGAAUACCAUCACGGAAUUUAAAAGUUUGUGAAUCUAAAUGUACAGAAACUAUGAUAUGACAGCAUGGAACCUAUACAGUAUUAGAAAUGGAAUAUAAAUCAUUCAAAUGUACCGCCAUAAUAAAGUUCUACUUGUCAUAAUGACUCCAUCUGAAGAAACACAAUAGCAGCCAUGUUGGGGCAACAAAUCCAUUUAUUCAGCUAAUAGCCAAGAUUUACUUUCGAUCGAAAACAACAAAUUCAAGAACGU